rnacentral:rRNA from 1 species
AUACGGAGGGUGCAAGCGUUACUCGGAAUUACUGGGCGUAAAGGACGCGUAGGCGGUUUAGAAAGUCAGAUGUGAAAGCCUAUGGCUUAACCAUAGAACUGCAUUUGAAACUUCCAAACUAGAGUGGGGGAGAGGUCAGUGGAAUUAGUGGUGUAGGGGUAAAAUCCGUAGAGAUCACUAGGAAUACUCAUUGCGAAGGCGACUGACUGGAACUUAACUGACGCUGAGGCGUGAAAGCGUGGGGAGCAAACAGGAUUAGAAACCCUUGUAGUCC